UACGAAGGGGGCUAGCGUUGCUCGGAAUCACUGGGCGUAAAGGGCUCGUAGGCGGCCAACUAAGUCGGACGUGAAAUCCCUCGGCUUAACCGGGGAACUGCUUCCGAUACUGGAUGGCUUGAGUGUGGGAGAGGGAUGCGGAAUUCCAGGUGUAGCGGUGAAAUGCGUAGAUAUCUGGAGGAACACCGGUGGCGAAGGCGGCAUCCUGGACCAUUACUGACGCUGAGUGAGCGAAAGCCAGGGGAGCAAACGGG
rnacentral:rRNA from 1 species